rnacentral:rRNA from 1 species
AGCUGUGGCAACAACGCGAUUGUGCUGGCGCCAGGAACUGGAGUGCUGGUGUGUUGUUGGGUAGGGGAGCGUCCUGCACGAGGUGAAGCCUGGAGGUGACUUCUGGUGGAUUGUGUGGGAGUGAGAAUGCAGGCAUGAGUAACGAAUCUGCGGUGAGAAUCCGCAGCGCCGAUUGACUAAGGGUUCCAGGGCUAGGUUUAUCCGCCCUGGGUUAGUCGGGUCCUAAGGCGAGGCCGACAGGCGUAGUCGAUGGACAACCAGUUGAUAUUCUGGUACCGCGUUGUGACCGCCCAUGCUGACGUCAUUGUGCUAACCAAUUUGCCUGCCGCCUGCUGGGCCUUCGGGUUUGGUGGUGUGUGUGGGUCUUGGGGUCCCGGUGAUUGUAGGCAAGCGUGUUAACAGGGGUGACGCAGACAGGUAGCUGCAGUGCGCCGAUGGUUGUGCGUAUUUAAGGUUGUGGCCCGUCCCUCAGGUAAAUCCGGGGGGCAUGAUGGGUGAGAACUGAUGAGGGUGACACGGUUGUGUUGUCUUGUGGUGAUCCUAUGCUGCCAAGAAAAGCCUCGACGUGAGGGCAUGACGCGCCCGUACCCUAAACCGACUCAGGUGGUCAGGUAGAGUAUACCGAGGCGUUCGAGUGAAUCAUGGUUAAGGAACUCGGCAAAAUUCCUCCGUAACUUCGGGAUAAGGAGGACCCCUUGGCUUUCCCGCGCCAUGCGCGCUGGUGGGGUUGGGGGGUCGCAGAGAAUAGGGAGAAGCGACUGUUUAUCAAAAACACAGGUGCGUGCGAAGCCGUAAGGCGAUGUAUACGCACUGACGCCUGCCCGGUGCUGGAAGGUUAAGAGGAACCGUCAACACUCUCUUGGGGUGUGAAGCGGUGAAUUUAAGCCCCAGUAAACGGCGGUGGUAACUAUAACCAUCCUAAGGUAGCGAAAUUCCUUGUCGGGUAAGUUCCGACCUGCACGAAUGGCGUAACGACUUCUCCGCUGUCUCAACCGUGAACUCGGUGAAAUUGCAGUACGAGUAAAGAUGCUCGUUUCGCGCAGAAGGACGGAAAGACCCCGGGACCUUUACUAUAGCUUGGUAUUGGUGUUCGCUUGGACUUGUGUAGGAUAGGUGGGAGACUGUGAAGCUGCCGCGCCAGCGGUGGUGGAGUCGUCGUUGAAAUACCAUUCUGGUUCAAGCGGUCACCUUAACCUUGGCCCGUGAUCCGGGUUGGGGACAGUGCCUGGUGGGUAGUUUAACUGGGGCGGUUGCCUCCUAAAAUGUAACGGAGGCGCUCAAAGGUUCCCUCAGCCUGGUUGGUAAUCAGGUGGCGAGUGCAAGUGUACAAGGGAGCUUGACUGUGAGACCGACGGGUCGAGCAGGUGCGAAAGCAGGAACUAGUGAUCCGGCCAUGGCACGUGGGUGCGUGGUCGCUCAACGGAUAAAAGGUACCCCGGGGAUAACAGGCUGAUCUUGCCCAAGAGUCCAUAUCGACGGCAUGGUUUGGCACCUCGAUGUCGGCUCGUCGCAUCCUGGGGCUGGAGUUGGUCCCAAGGGUUGGGCUGUUCGCCCAUUAAAGCGGUACGCGAGCUGGGUUCAGAACGUCGUGAGACAGUUCGGUCCCUAUCCUCUGUGCGCGCAGGAAAUUUGAG